rnacentral:lncRNA from 12 species
UGCCUGUGUUUAGAAAAGCGCUGCCUAGAUUUUGCCCAAAUAUUAGUUUAUGAGUUGAGUUUUUUCCAAGUCUUAGCUGGUAAUUUUUGGUGAAUUUCUGCUGCUUAGUAUAGCAAGCCAAUGUAAAUGUGAAAUUAAAUCCAUAGAACUAAAUGUUCAUGAUGAAUAGAACUUUGGUCUGUGUUGAGUAGCCUCUCUUGGAGUAUUACUGAGCUUGAAGAAACAGGGAGCAGCCGUCAAUGAAAACUUUGUGCUCUGUAGAAACCAGCCUACAUAAAUAUUUUAUUUAGCAGAGAUAAUAACAGAUUUGUAGAAUAACUUAUUUUUACUGUUGCAAUCAAAUAUGAUUUGAUCUAUAAACUCCUAACCAUAUAUUUACCUCCAAUGAUGUCAAACACUUAUUUAGACAUAUCAAAAAAAUUAAUUUUGCCUUUUCGAACAGAAUAUGGAAUCUGAUUACGUGGGAUCCACAGCUCUCUUUAUUGGAAGUGACCAUUUUCCCAGUUAUGAAUAAGGAAGGAUUCAGUGCUGGAGAAGAAUAGCCAUCUUAAGAGCACAAGACAACAAUUGGAGAAGGAAAGUCUUUGCCCUGCAGGGAAGAUUCACUGUUAUGUGAGCAAAAUAAGAUCCUACUUGUUUAAGCACCUAUUUGAGGAGUUUCUUAUGUUCACAGCCAAACCUAAUUCCUAACUGAUAGAAUAAUAAAU